CUGUACAGUUCAGAGUUUGAUCCUGGCUCAGGACGAACGCUGGCGGCGUGCCUAACACAUGCAAGUCGAACGGACGAGGGGAGCUUGCUCCCUAAGUUAGUGGCGAACGGGUGAGUAACGCGUGAGAAACCUGCCUCUCAGUGGGGGACAACAGUUGGAAACGACUGCUAAUACCGCAUAACACUUUAGUACCGCAUGGUACAGAAGUCAAAGCUUAAUGUGCUGAGAGAUGGUCUCGCGUCUGAUUAGCUAGAUGGCGGGGUAACGGCCCACCAUGGCGACGAUCAGUAGCCGGUCUGAGAGGAUGAACGGCCACAUUGGGACUGAGAUACGGCCCAG
rnacentral:rRNA from 1 species